UGUACCAGGCGGUGAUUAAUUCCUAUAGGAUAAAAAAAAGAGUAUUAAAAACAAGUAUUUUGACAACCUACCUGUACCAAUACCAUUUAUUGGAAUAUUUGUACUUGCAUAUUUUGUAGUUACUUUAUUAGUUACAUACAAAAAAAAUCCUUGUACGCAAAUUCUCCUUAUACAUUACAAUGUAUAAUACUGUUUCAGGGCCAAGAUGCAAUUUGCUUCUUGAGAUAAGCCUAAGAGGUUGGAUGUGCUUGGCAGACCUCCAUGUCAUCACAAACUUUUUAAAAGUUCUCCUCCAUCUCAAGAUGCUUGCUAUGCAACUUGGCUUUGUUGUUCAAGAAACAAGGGACCAGGGACCAAAGCCCCUUUGGAGAAGCAGAAUGGGUUGCAUGGUUCUUUGGAUUAUGACUAUGUUAAAGUGAUUAACAGAGCAGAGAUACUGAAGUCUUAAAAGUAAAAUGUUUCAGCUUUCUCUGCUCCAGUGUCAAAGGGGGCUGUAGCCAAGAUGGCAACAUUCAGAGGUGUGGCAUCUGCUGUAGGUUCCUCCUCUUCGGUCCAUGCGCACCAUGCGAAGGAUCUGUAGGAAACGAAGACUUCUCAGUGCUGAUGUUGCAAAAAUGUUACCCUGAGUUUUUGCAGAAACAACUGCUAUUGAAGCGAUGAGAACAAUGAUGUCUGAAAGAAAUACAUUACAAAAUACAUUAAUGUGCGCAUAUGGACCAGUAAUAGCUUGAUAGCAUAUUGUCAUAUGCUGGGUGAACUGGAUGGCUUUGUAUGUUAAGAAUAUUCUUUAAGAGUCUUUAUGCUGAAAGAAAGUGAAUUGUAACAACAACAUCCGUAUAAAUGCAAAAAAUACAAUACUAUAAAAUGUUGCAUUGACCAGUGCUAAGUUCUAUCAAAAGAAAUGCCCCUUUACUCAAUUUACAAGAAUACACAAUUUACAAGAAUACAUAAUACACAGUCAUCUUACCCAAGUUCUUAGACAGCCUCCAGUUAUUUCAGGCAUGUGCUCUACAGUCCUCAUCUAAUUUGUGUGUGCCAAUUUCAUGGGACCAAACUUUUAACUGAAAAGGAUCUAAUAUAAGUCUCUCUCACUAAAAGUUCUAGCUCACAUACCUAGUAUUGGGAACAUUAAGGGAGUUUUCAACAAUGCUUAAUUUUUUUGUUCUGAUCUAUGGGUUGGUUUGUUUUUAACUUGCAAACAUGUAUGUAUGUAUUUUUUAUUUAUUUAUAAGUUGCCCUUCACCCAAAGGUGCCAGGACAGAAGAUUCAUUUACCUUAAAAACCAUAAUUAGCAAUAUAUGAAAUUAGAGUAAAUAAUAGAUUGCCCAGUAGACACCACCAUCAUCAGGAAUAAAGUAAAGCACACUCUCCAUCCACAAUGUACUUUACCCCACUCCAAUGUUUGAAACAGGUACAUCUUCACUAAUAGGCAAAAUAAUGUUGAAGCUGGGCACACCUCGAAGGGGACAUAAUUCCCUAAGUGUGGUGCCAGAGCAGAGAAGGCCCUCCCAUGUGCCCCCAUGCUUUGAACCCCACUCAGCAAUGGGAUCACAAAUGGGGCCUCCCCUGCAGAUCUCAAUACCCAGCCAGGUUGGUAUUGGUGGAAGCAUCCUUGAAUCGCAAAAUAAUUGGCAACCAGUCAAAUUGUAAUAAUUUGAAGAGUAGCUAUUUAAUUGGAAGAGCGCACUCUUUUCUGUUCCUGUUAAUAGAUGAAAUUGUUAGCAAUACAUUUGCCCCCUUUGGCUACCCCUUCACUGAGAAUAAUCGGGAGCAGUGAUAAUAACUGAAAAUGCACCACAGGGAUGGAAUCAUCAUGCUGAUGCAAUAAAUUUAUAGCAGCAAUUCGUGUAUUAGAUUAGCAUUCUGCUGACAUACUAGCUUUUCAUUGGCAAAGCUUUUAUGUAGGAAGGUACAAUUCCUUCAUCUGAAAUUUGAAAGUCCAGGAAAGGGUGUAUAGCAUGCUUUGCUUAUAUAUUUGAAUCAUUUUACUUUCCAUUAGAUUAGCAUCUAUUCCAGUCUCAAUCUAAACCCACUGACAUGGGAGUGACAGCUUAAUCUUAUGUUUAUCUACUUAGAAAUAAGUCCCACAAUGCACAAUAGGGUUUACUGGUACUUCCUAGUAAGUGUUUUAAGAUUUGCCAGUGUCAUAUUGGGAAGCAAAAUACUGUAUUUAUUAGGACAAACUAAUGUUUACAAUACAGCAUGUGAGCUUUUGAGUUCACAGUACAGUGGUACCUUGGGUUACAUACGCUUCAGCUUACAGACACUUCAGGUUACAGACUCUGCUAAACCAGAAAUAGUACCUCAGGUUAAGAACUUUGCUUCAGGAUGAGAACAGAAAUCGCGCAGCGGUGGCGUGGUGGCAGCGGGAGGCCCCAUUAGCUAAAGUGGUGCUUCAGGUUAAGAACAGUUUCAGGUUAAGAACGGACCUCUUGAACGAAUUAAGUUCUUAACCCGAGGUACCACUGUAUUCUAUUUCAGACUAGAUGAACUGCCACAUGACUAUUUGUUGAUACUAAUAAAUUUAAUAUUUUACUGAUGUUAUAAAUUUGUUAUAAUGGACCAGUGGAGCUAUCUGAUUUAAUAUAUGUCCAUGGAGCUUACUUCCCUGUAUGCACACCAGUUCUAGCCACAUUUCAAAUCAUUUGCACCUUUCCCCAAGCAAAGUGUUGAUAAUGAAAAAGCUACCUGUUUUGUUAUCUUAUAGGCAGGGCAAUGGACCUGUUAUUGCCAUGUCCUGAGUUUCAGAUGCUUUAUUGUAGCUGCUUCCCUACCCUCCACC